rnacentral:rRNA from 1 species
CCUACGGGAGACAGCAGUGGGGAAUAUUGCGCAAUGGGCGAAAGCCUGACGCAGCGACGCCGCGUGAGGGAUGAAGGUCUUCGGAUCGUAAACCUCUGUCAGCAGGGAAGAACGGUCACUGUGCUAAUCAGCAGUGAAUUGACGGUACCUGCAAAGGAAGCACCGGCUAACUCCGUGCCAGCAGCCGCGGUAAUACGGAGGGUGCGAGCGUUAAUCGGAAUUACUGGGCGUAAAGCGCUCGUAGGCGGUAUGUCAAGUCAAGGGUGAAAGCCCCGCGCUCAACUUGGGAACUGCCUUUGAAACUGGCAAACUGGAGUAUGUGAGAGGAUAGUGGAAUUCCAGGUGUAGGGGUGAAAUCCGUAGAUAUCUGGAGGAACAUCAGUGGCGAAGGCGACUAUCUGGCACAUAACUGACGCUGAGGAGCGAAAGCGUGGGUAGCAAACAGGAUUAGAUACCCCAGUAGUC